rnacentral:rRNA from 1 species
UGGGGAAUUUUGGACAAUGGGCGAAAGCCUGAUCCAGCAAUGCCGCGUGUGUGAAGAAGGCCUUCGGGUUGUAAAGCACUUUUGUCCGGAAAGAAAUCCUUGGCUCUAAUACAGUCGGGGGAUGACGGUACCGGAAGAAUAAGCACCGGCUAACUACGUGCCAGCAGCCGCGGUAAUACGUAGGGUGCAAGCGUUAAUCGGAAUUACUGGGCGUAAAGCGUGCGCAGGCGGUUUGCUAAGACCGAUGUGAAAUCCCCGGGCUCAACCUGGGAACUGCAUUGGUGACUGGCAGGCUAGAGUAUGGCAGAGGGGGGUAGAAUUCCACAUGUAGCAGUGAAAUGCGUAGAGAUGUGGAGGAAUACCGAUGGCGAAGGCAGCCCCCUGGGCCAAUACUGACGCUCAUGCACGAAAGCGUGGGGAGCAAACAGGAUUAGAUACCCCUGGUAGUCCACGCCCUAAACGAUGUCAACUAGUUGUUGGGGGAUUCAUUUCCUUAGUAACGUAGCUAACGCGUGAAGUUGACCGCCUGGGGGAGUACGGUCGCAAGAUUAAAACUCAAAUGAAUUGACGGGGUCAUAGCUGUUU